CUUGUCAGGCCACGCUGUGUCGGCAACCCACAUAAAGUGGAAGAAGAUCGGCACAGUUGUUAGUUCAGGCCAAAUCUUCCUCAGCAAAAAGA